UGCUUGAAAAUAUGAUUAUUUUUAAUUGUUUUUCUUCUGUUUUUCCUCUCCGGAUCCUAUUCGGGUUGUAUCUAUAUCAGGAUCCUGCUCCUCGGCAUUUGAACCGGCUAAAAUUAGAUGGUUGGUUCAUCCCUCCCGGCGCAGCUGUCGCCUCCGCCCCCAAAUUAAUUAAAAUAAAGCGACUCUGUGUAACAUUUUCCUCAUGAUCCGCCAAAAAUCUGCAGCACGGACCAACCCCCACCUCAAAACAACCAUUUCUGGCGCCGGGAGUGAAAAAUAACACCUUUAAAUCCAAUUUGGCAUCGUUAAAACUCAACCCUGACGCUCGGUCCAAGAAGCUCCCGGUGACGAUGGAGUCGGGGAAACGGAGCGCAGAUCUCGAACAACGAGAUGCAAAAAUCAGGAAAUUAACGGAAGAAUUUGAAGAAAGCGACACCGAACAUGGCGAAUGCGACGCAAAAAUCAAGGAACGCGACAGAAAAAUUACCAAACUCGCAGCAGAAAUCCGUAAGUCUUUGUCUGCGCUAAGCAGGGUCGGGCCC
rnacentral:lncRNA from 1 species